rnacentral:rRNA from 1 species
GGACGAACGCUGGCGGCGUGCCUACUCCAUGCAAGUUGAGCGAUGAAGAUUGGUGCUUGCCCCAAUUUGAAGAGCAGCGAACGGGUGAGUAACGCGUGGGGAAUCUGCCUUUGAGCGGGGGACAACAUUUGGAAACGAAUGCUAAUACCGCAUAACAACUUUAAACAUAAGUUUUAAGUUUGAAAGAUGCAAUUGCAUCACUCAAAGAUGAUCCCGCGUUGUAUUAGCUAGUUGGUGAGGUAAAGGCUCACCAAGGCGAUGAUACAUAGCCGACCUGAGAGGGUGAUCGGCCACAUUGGGACUGAGACACGGCCCAAACUCCUACGGGAGGCAGCAGUAGGGAAUCUUCGGCAAUGGACGAAAGUCUGACCGAGCAACGCCGCGUGAGUGAAGAAGGUUUUCGGAUCGUAAAACUCUGUUGGUAGAGAAGAACGUUGGUGAGAGUGGAAAGCUCAUCAAGUGACGGUAACUACCCAGAAAGGGACGGCUAACUACGUG